rnacentral:rRNA from 1 species
UACGGAGGAUCCAAGCGUUAUCCGGAUUUAUUGGGUUUAAAGGGUGCGUAGGCGGCUUAUUAAGUCAGGGGUGAAAGACGGUGGCUCAACCAUCGCAGUGCCUUUGAUACUGAUGAGCUUGAAUGAACUAGAGGUAGGCGGAAUGUGACAAGUAGCGGUGAAAUGCAUAGAUAUGUCACAGAACACCGAUUGCGAAGGCAGCUUACUAAAGUAUAACUGACGCUGAGGCACGAAAGUGCGGGGAUCAAACAGG